GCAGAAUUGUCGCCGAAGAGCCUGGAGCCGGCCCUUGUCUCGGGCGCAAAAAUUCCUUGUUCUGGCUCUGGCCCAGAGCCCUGCCCUCAUCCCCUUAGGGGAGCGAAUUCACCUGGGGGGUGGAGUGGAGUUUUAUAGUUAAAGGAUCAAGCUUCAAUUCCUGCCGCCCCUUCCCUUGCGGGCCCAGGAACAGCAACUCCAGUUCCCUCCCCCAGAGCUGACUCAAUGUUUGUGUCUUUAGAGGGCUAGGACAGGGCGUGUUCAGCCACCUUGGGGGACACCACAAUGCGAUAGUGAAGGGCCACCACUGCCGAGCCACACACACAGAUUUAAAGGCCCAGCCCAGAGUUGGAGGUCAUGGCCCAACAGCAAUUCUGCUACUGGUGUGCAUGAACGGCUGCACGUGACCUUCCCUUUGCUGAUCAGCAAUUGCAUUUCGAUGGACUAGAAUUGCUCAGCCUACGUACUAGAAUGUAGACCUCUGGAAAACAGGUAGAAGUGUUCCAUUGAAGCAAGCUACAAAUGCAAGAACAAGGACUAGGGAAGAGGAGGAAAGGGAGGGGACAACCAAGUUUUUCCAUACCAAAAAUUCCAGAUUAGUGGUCAGCAAGAAGGGAGAAAAGAUUUAUAAUCCAAGUCAUUUGUCAAGGGAUGACUACCUCAACCCAGAAAAAGGGAAAGAUGAGAGCUCCAUCCACAAAGGUGGGAAGUCACUGGAACACCUCAGACUCUUCUUUGCAGAACAUUUAAAAAAGUUAAGUGGGCAGGGAAGGUGAACAAACAAGAUGAGCAUUUGACAGCUGUAUUUAAUUUUUGGAAUCCAAUAAUCCAGUAUGCACAUCAUCCUCUGAAAAUUUAGCUACAAGGAAGCCAGACAGAUUUUCCAGGAGAUGAAGCUUUUUUCAGCUCUCAAAGUCAAUAAAAAGGUUUACAUAA